rnacentral:piRNA from 1 species
UGUGAAAGUAGACUAACAUGAGGUAC